CAACUCGGAGGAAGUGGGGAUGACGUCAAAUCAUCAUGCCCCUUAUGUCUUGGGCUUCACGCAUGCUACAAUGGCCGGUACAAAGGGCUGCGAUACCGCGAGGUGGAGCGAAUCCCAGAAAGCCGGUCUCAGUUCGGAUUGGGGUCUGCAACUCGACCCCAUGAAGUCGGAGUCGCUAGUAAUCGCAGAUCAGCAACGCUGCGGUGAAUACGUUCCCGGGCCUU
rnacentral:rRNA from 1 species